AGAGUUUGAUCAUGGCUCAGGACGAACGCUGGCGGCGUGCCUAACACAUGCAAGUCGAACGGUUGAGAGGUGAGAGUUGGGAGGUUAGAAGUGAGAGCUUGAAGGUAUUGGCCAACAUGCCAAUACCAGCAAUGAAGUCUCACAUCCCGCUUCCCACAUCUCACUUCUCAAUAGUGGCGGACGGGUGAGUAACGCGUGGGCAACCUACCCAUCAGACUGGGAUAACACCGGGAAACUGGUGCUAAUACCGGAUACGCUUAUGGAGGGGCAUCCCUUUGUAAGGAAAGAAAAUCGCUGAUGGAUGGGCCCGCGUCUGAUUAGCUAGUUGGUGGGGUAGUGGCCUACCAAGGCGACGAUCAGUAGCCGGCCUGAGAGGGUGACCGGCCACACUGGGACUGAGACACGGCCCAGACUCCUACGGGAGGCAGCAGUGGGGAAUAUUGCGCAAUGGGGGAAACCCUGACGCAGCAACGCCGCGUGAGUGACGAAGGCCUUCGGGUCGUAAAGCUCUGUCGACAGGGACGAAUAGAUGACGGUACCUGAGGAGGA
rnacentral:rRNA from 1 species